GCCGGCGGUGCCGGAGGGACCGGGCUGGGGCCCAUCGCCGCUGGGCCGGGCGGAUUGGGCGGACGAGCGCUGUCGUUCUUCGGCGCGCCGGGG
rnacentral:tRNA from 1 species